AAAAAAAAAAAAAAAAAAAAAAAAAGGGAAGUGGAAGUCUUAGUUUUCAAAAUUCAGAUCUUUGUGAGGAUGUUACCCAAUACCCACCGGCCGAUGUCACCACAAGGAUUUCAGCAGUAAGAGAUGGCCCAUGUAUAUCACCUCUUUUUACAUCUUCCUUUAGUUGCAUUUUACUUUGACCUUAUGCUAUCAGAGCCAUGUCUCACAAGAUCAUUACCUUCUUCCCAAAAGGUUAUGAGUUUUUUGUGUUGAGGUGUGUAACACCCACGAGCAUAGGACCCAUCCCCUUGUAACCAAUGCAGGAUUCAUUACACCCAGCUCAGCUUGGCCGUUGCAGCUGUAUUAUUCCAGGCUACUCGAGUCGUCCGACAACUCUGAAACUUGGUUUCGGCCGAAAGAUCACCAUUUAAUGGGCUUGCAAUAUUUGUUCUGUGAACUUAUUUUAUUUUAUUUUUUUUUUGUGGGAACUUGAGAGAUGAUGCUGACAUGAGAUUGAAUAUUUUGGUUGACAACUAAAAUCAAUAAAAGAGGAUGGUGAUGGGGAAAAAAUGUGUUAGUGGUAUGGGUGAAGCCCUUUAGUUAAAGUGGCAAUAAAUUUAACACUUGGGUGUGGUGAACUUGUGUUGACAUGAAUUCUUCAUACGUGAUGAUAGAAAUGCAGUACUUUUUUAAGGUAAAUGGUGAGUUAAAGCCAUUUGCAGCCAAUUCAAGCAGGUGGUUUCCAUUUUAUACUGAUAAAGCAUCUUCAAUAUUCAAAAUUGUAAUAUUAACAAGUUGAAAUAGAAGUUGAAGAAGACAGCUGUACUCACUAAAUUUCUUUUAGAGUGGACACUGAUUCCUGA